rnacentral:rRNA from 1 species
GCCGCUUACCCGCAGUGGGACGAAAAGACCCUGUGCACCUUUACUAUAGCUUAGUAUUGACCUUGGAUAAAUGAUGUGUAGGAUAGGUUGGAGACUGUGAAGUGGCGUCGCUAGGCGUUGUGGAGUCAUUGUUGAAAUACAACCCUUUGUUUAUCUGAGGCCUAACCCCGUUAUGCGGGGGACAUUGCUUGGUGGGUAGUUUGACUGGGGUGGUCGCCUCCAAAAGAGUAACGGAGGCUUCUAAAGGUUCCCUCAGUACGCUUGGUAACCGUGCGUAGAGUGCAAUGGCAUAAGGGAGCUUGACUGAGAGACAUACAGGUCGAUCAGGUACGAAAGUAGAGC